rnacentral:rRNA from 1 species
AUUGAACGCUGGCGGCAUGCUUUACACAUGCAAGUCGAACGGUAACAGGCCGCAAGGUGCUGACGAGUGGCGAACGGGUGAGUAAUGCAUCGGAACGUGCCCAGUCGUGGGGGAUAACUACUCGAGAGAGUAGCUAAUACCGCAUACGAUCUAUGGAUGAAAGCGGGGGACCGUAAGGCCUCGCGCGAUUGGAGCGGCCGAUGUCAGAUUAGGUAGUUGGUGGGGUAAAGGCUCACCAAGCCAACGAUCUGUAGCUGGUCUGAGAGGACAACCAGCCACACUGGGACUGAGACACGGCCCAGACUCCUACGGGAGGCAGCAGUGGGGAAUUUUGGACAAUGGGCGCAAGCCUGAUCCAGCAAUGCCGCGUGCAGGAAGAAGGCCUUCGGGUUGUAAACUGCUUUUGUACGGAACGAAACGGCUCUGGUUAAUACCCGGGGCUAAUGACGGUACCGUAAGAAUAAGCACCGGCUAACUACGUG